rnacentral:rRNA from 1 species
ACUGAUUGAUCCCUUCGGGGUGAGACGGUGGGCCUAGCGCUCGACCCUAUGCUGGUGCGGUUAGCGUAUUAACAGGUGUGACGCAGGAAGGUAGUCGGUCCUGGGCGAUGGUUGUCCCAGGCCAAGGUUGUAGGCCGAGAGAUAGGCAAAUCCGUCUCUCAUAUAAGGCUGAGAGCUGAAGGGGAGCCCGUAAGGGCAAGAUCCGAUGAUCCUAUGCUGCCAAGAAAAGCAUCGGCGCGAGGUUCAAGUCACCCGUACCCCAAACCGACUCAGGUGGUCAGGUAGAGAAUACCAAGGAGAUCGAGAGAAUCGUGGUUAAGGAACUCGGCAAAAUGCCCCCGUAACUUCGGGAGAAGGGGGGCCUGACACGUCAACGGACUUGCUCCGGGACGCGUGGUAGGGCCGCAGAGACCAGUGGGAAGCGACUGUUUACUAAAAACACAGGUCCGUGCCAAGUCGCAAGACGAUGUAUACGGACUGACGCCUGCCCGGUGCUGGAAGGUUAAGAGGAACGGUUAGCCGCAAGGCGAAGCUGAGAAUUUAAGCCCCAGUAAACGGCGGUGGUAACUAUAACCAUCCUAAGGUAGCGAAAUUCCUUGUCGGGUAAGUUCCGACCUGCACGAAUGGCGUAACGACUUCCCAGCUGUCUCAACCGCGAACUCGGCGAAAUUGCACUACGAGUAAAGAUGCUCGUUACGCGCAGCAGGACGGAAAGACCCCGUGACCUUUACUACAGCUUGGUAUUGGUGUUCGGUGUGGCUUGUGUAGGAUAGGUGGGAGACUGUGAAGCUGGCACGCUAGUGUCGGUGGAGUCAUUGUUGAAAUACCACUCUGGUCAUAUUGGAUAUCUAACUUCGAACCGUAAUCCGGUUCAGGGACAGUGCCUGGUGGGUAGUUUAACUGGGGCGGUUGCCUCCUAAAAAGUAACGGAGGCGCCCAAAGGUUCCCUCAAUCUGGUUGGCAAUCAGAUGUCGAGUGUAAGUGCACAAGGGAGCUUGACUGUGAGACUGACAAGUCGAGCAGGGACGAAAGUCGGGACUAGUGAUCCGGCAGUGGCUUGUGGAAGCGCUGUCGCUCAACGGAUAAAAGGUACCUCGGGGAUAACAGGCUGAUCUUGCCCAAGAGUCCAUAUCGACGGCAUGGUUUGGCACCUCGAUGUCGGCUCGUCGCAUCCUGGGGCUGGAGUAGGUCCCAAGGGUUGGGCUGUUCGCCCAUUAAAGCGGUACGCGAGCUGGGUUUAGAACGUCGUGAGACAGUUCGGUCCCUAUCCGCUGCGCGCGCAGGAAAUUUGAGAGGAUCUGACCCUAGUACGAGAGGACCGGGUUGGACGAACCUCUGGUGUGUCAGUUGUUCCGCCAGGAGCACCGCUGAUUAGCUACGUUCGGGAUGGAUAACCGCUGAAAGCAUCUAAGCGGGAAGCCGGCCUCAAGAUGAGAUUUCCAUGCCUUCGGGCGAGAGGCUCCCAGCUAGACUACUGGGUUGAUAGGCCGGAUGUGGAAGAGAGGACUAAAGACUCUCGGAGCUGACCGGUACUAAUAAGCCGAUAACUUACCAAU